UGGUUUGUUCUGUUGAUCCAUAGCUGCUGGUCUGUUCUGAUCACAGGCUGCCUUUGCUUUGGUUUCUGAUAACUCACGAGCUAUUUUGUCAAUUCUGUCUCUGAAUGGUAAUAGGUGUGCAGAACCUUCGAAUCGAGUUUGCAUGCACAAAGAUUAGUACCUAUACCACAAAAACAAGCAGACGAAAAUAUGAGUUAGUAACUUGAUAAAUGUAAAAGAACUUGAUCUUAAAAGUUUCUGAUAUCUUGAAUGUAACAAUGCAACAAUGAAUUGACAACGACGCCAAAUUGAUAAGGAGGUUUUUCAGGUCUGCUGAGAUUCAGUUCAAUUCCCCUAAAACACAAAUAAGUCGAUGCAGUUAUAGGGGGUGUCAAUCCAGUCCACUGUAAUGAUGGUGUAAAGAAACUACUAAGUCAAGCCAGAUUAUAAUGAUAGUGGGUUUCUAGUAACAAUCCUAGGUCAGGAUUCAAACAAGUAAAAAUAAGAACUUAAGAGCCCUAUUCGAUCAUUGGGUCGAGUAGAACCAACAAGUGACAAAAUUAAGAAACCUAAAUGCAAUCAACAGGGGAUAUAAAUAGGGGAUACAAAUAACAGGUAAAGAAAAGUGCAAUCAACAGGGGAUACAAAUAAAUCUAAUAGAAGUUCUAAGGAUGGAUUCAUUGAUAAGGGCAACUCUAGGAUUCACCAAUUGGCUAAUAGGCGAAAGGUAGAUACCCAUGACGAUAGAUUCAAAAACCGCGUCAAUCCACUCUCGUGACAGAGACCCGCAUAACUCUACCACUUCCUAAUUUCAACUCUCGUUGAUGAAACAUAGCAGAGCAGGGUUUAAGAAACAAUCUACCAAAGCCAAUAGGUAAACAAGCCAAUCCCUUGGUCGAGUCUACAAAUCUCCAGAAUUUGUAGGUCAGACAUCCAUUUGAACGUCUUUUGGACGCUGGACGUCUAUGAUCGAAUCUCCACAUUAGCCAGCAAAAACCGCAUAGGGGCCAAGCGAAUCCAGAAGGGUAUAAACCUAAACACUAACCACCUAACUAACCUAGAGAUUACCCUAAUCUAAUCCAUCUUCAAGAACCCUAAUCACUACUCAAGCAACAUUAUCAAGAACACAAACCCAUAAAUUACUAA
rnacentral:sRNA from 1 species